GGGUUGUGAGGUUAAGCGACUAAGCGUACACGGUGGAUGCCCUGGCAGUCAGAGGCGAUGAAGGACGUGCUAAUCUGCGAUAAGCGUCGGUAAGGUGAUAUGAACCGUUAUAACCGGCGAUUUCCGAAUGGGGAAACCCAGUGUGAUUCGUCACACUAUCAUUAACUGAAUCCAUAGGUUAAUGAGGCGAACCGGGGGAACUGAAACAUCUAAGUACCCCGAGGAAAAGAAAUCAACCGAGAUUCCCCCAGUAGCGGCGAGCGAACGGGGAGGAGCCCAGAGCCUGAAUCAGUGUGUGUGUUAGUGGAAGCGUCUGGAAAGGCGCGCGAUACAGGGUGACAGCCCCGUACACAAAAAUGCACAUGCUGUGAGCUCGAUGAGUAGGGCGGGACACGUGGUAUCCUGUCUGAAUAUGGGGGGACCAUCCUCCAAGGCUAAAUACUCCUGACUGACCGAUAGUGAACCAGUACCGUGAGGGAAAGGCGAAAAGAACCCCGGCGAGGGGAGUGAAAAAGAACCUGAAACCGUGUACGUACAAGCAGUGGGAGCACAGAGCAAUCUGUGUGACUGCGUACCUUUUGUAUAAUGGGUCAGCGACUUAUAUUCUGUAGCAAGGUUAACCGAAUAGGGGAGCCGAAGGGAAACCGAGUCUUAACUGGGCGUUAAGUUGCAGGGUAUAGACCCGAAACCCGGUGAUCUAGCCAUGGGCAGGUUGAAGGUUGGGUAACACUAACUGGAGGACCGAACCGACUAAUGUUGAAAAAUUAGCGGAUGACUUGUGGCUGGGGGUGAAAGGCCAAUCAAACCGGGAGAUAGCUGGUUCUCCCCGAAAGCUAUUUAGGUAGCGCCUCGUGAAUUCAUCUCCGGGGGUAGAGCACUGUUUCGGCAAGGGGGUCAUCCCGACUUACCAACCCGAUGCAAACUGCGAAUACCGGAGAAUGUUAUCACGGGAGACACACGGCGGGUGCUAACGUCCGUCGUGAAGAGGGAAACAACCCAGACCGCCAGCUAAGGUCCCAAAGUCAUGGUUAAGUGGGAAACGAUGUGGGAAGGCCCAGACAGCCAGGAUGUUGGCUUAGAAGCAGCCAUCAUUUAAAGAAAGCGUAAUAGCUCACUGGUCGAGUCGGCCUGCGCGGAAGAUGUAACGGGGCUAAACCAUGCACCGAAGCUGCGGCAGCGACGCUUAUGCGUUGUUGGGUAGGGGAGCGUUCUGUAAGCCUGUGAAGGUGUACUGUGAGGUAUGCUGGAGGUAUCAGAAGUGCGAAUGCUGACAUAAGUAACGAUAAAGCGGGUGAAAAGCCCGCUCGCCGGAAGACCAAGGGUUCCUGUCCAACGUUAAUCGGGGCAGGGUGAGUCGACCCCUAAGGCGAGGCCGAAAGGCGUAGUCGAUGGGAAACAGGUUAAUAUUCCUGUACUUGGUGUUACUGCGAAGGGGGGACGGAGAAGGCUAUGUUGGCCGGGCGACGGUUGUCCCGGUUUAAGCGUGUAGGCUGGUUUUCCAGGCAAAUCCGGAAAAUCAAGGCUGAGGCGUGAUGACGAGGCACUACGGUGCUGAAGCAACAAAUGCCCUGCUUCCAGGAAAAGCCUCUAAGCAUCAGGUAACAUCAAAUCGUACCCCAAACCGACACAGGUGGUCAGGUAGAGAAUACCAAGGCGCUUGAGAGAACUCGGGUGAAGGAACUAGGCAAAAUGGUGCCGUAACUUCGGGAGAAGGCACGCUGAUAUGUAGGUGAAGCGACUUGCUCGUGGAGCUGAAAUCAGUCGAAGAUACCAGCUGGCUGCAACUGUUUAUUAAAAACACAGCACUGUGCAAACACGAAAGUGGACGUAUACGGUGUGACGCCUGCCCGGUGCCGGAAGGUUAAUUGAUGGGGUCAGCGCAAGCGAAGCUCUUGAUCGAAGCCCCGGUAAACGGCGGCCGUAACUAUAACGGUCCUAAGGUAGCGAAAUUCCUUGUCGGGUAAGUUCCGACCUGCACGAAUGGCGUAAUGAUGGCCAGGCUGUCUCCACCCGAGACUCAGUGAAAUUGAACUCGCUGUGAAGAUGCAGUGUACCCGCGGCAAGACGGAAAGACCCCGUGAACCUUUACUAUAGCUUGACACUGAACAUUGAGCCUUGAUGUGUAGGAUAGGUGGGAGGCUUUGAAGUGUGGACGCCAGUCUGCAUGGAGCCGACCUUGAAAUACCACCCUUUAAUGUUUGAUGUUCUAACGUUGACCCGUGAUCCGGGUUGCGGACAGUGUCUGGUGGGUAGUUUGACUGGGGCGGUCUCCUCCUAAAGAGUAACGGAGGAGCACGAAGGUUGGCUAAUCCUGGUCGGACAUCAGGAGGUUAGUGCAAUGGCAUAAGCCAGCUUGACUGCGAGCGUGACGGCGCGAGCAGGUGCGAAAGCAGGUCAUAGUGAUCCGGUGGUUCUGAAUGGAAGGGCCAUCGCUCAACGGAUAAAAGGUACUCCGGGGAUAACAGGCUGAUACCGCCCAAGAGUUCAUAUCGACGGCGGUGUUUGGCACCUCGAUGUCGGCUCAUCACAUCCUGGGGCUGAAGUAGGUCCCAAGGGUAUGGCUGUUCGCCAUUUAAAGUGGUACGCGAGCUGGGUUUAGAACGUCGUGAGACAGUUCGGUCCCUAUCUGCCGUGGGCGCUGGAGAACUGAGGGGGGCUGCUCCUAGUACGAGAGGACCGGAGUGGACGCAUCACUGGUGUUCGGGUUGUCAUGCCAAUGGCACUGCCCGGUAGCUAAAUGCGGAAGAGAUAAGUGCUGAAAGCAUCUAAGCACGAAACUUGCCCCGAGAUGAGUUCUCCCUGACUCCUUGAGAGUCCUGAAGGAACGUUGAAGACGACGACGUUGAUAGGCCGGGUGUGUAAGCGCAGCGAUGCGUUGAGCUAACCGGUACUAAUGAACCGUGAGGCUUAACCUUACAACGCCGAAG
rnacentral:rRNA from 1 species